rnacentral:rRNA from 1 species
UACGAAGGGGGCUAGCGUUGUUCGGAAUCACUGGGCGUAAAGCGCACGUAGGCGGAUGUGCCAGUCAGGGGUGAAAUCCCGGAGCUCAACUCCGGAACUGCCUCUGAUACAGCACGUCUUGAGUUCGAGAGAGGUGGGUGGAAUUCCUAGUGUAGAGGUGAAAUUCGUAGAUAUUGGGAAGAACACCGAUGGCGAAGGCAGCCAUCUGGACCGACACUGACGCUGAGGCGCGAAAGCGUGGGGAGCAAAUAGG